rnacentral:sRNA from 1 species
UCAAUGGAGUCCUCAGAUGAAUGGUGAU